GAGGAAUAUUGGUCAAUGGACGAAAGUCUGAACCAGCCAAGUAGCGUGCAGGAUGACGGCCCUCCGGGUUGUAAACUGCUUUUAGUUGGGAAUAAAAAAAGGGACGUGUCCCUUAUUGUAUGUACCUUCAGAAAAAGGACCGGCUAAUUCCGUGCCAGCAGCCGCGGUAAUACGGAAGGUCCAGGCGUUAUCCGGAUUUAUUGGGUUUAAAGGGAGCGUAGGCGGAUUGUUAAGUCAGCGGUUAAAGGGUGUGGCUCAACCAUACAUUGCCGUUGAAACUGGCGAUCUUGAGUGCAGACAGGGAUGCCGGAAUUCGUGGUGUAGCGGUGAAAUGCUUAGAUAUCACGAAGAACUCCGAUCGCGAAGGCAGGUGUCCGGGCUGCAACUGACGCUGAGGCUCGAAAGUGUGGGUAUCAAACAGGAUUAGAUACCCUGGUAGUCCACACAGUAAACGAUGUAUACUCGCGGUUUGCGAUAGAGUGUAAGCCGCCAAGCGAAAGCAUUAAGUAUACCACCUGGGGAGUACGCCGGCAACGGUG
rnacentral:rRNA from 1 species